AAUCAUCAGUGUUUGAGCAGUUAUGAUAUCAGGGACAAUCUAGACAUGUGUGACAAUACUGAACAUGUCACAUGACACACCUUAAACAUCAUGUGAUCCACUCUCAGUCUGCACUUUCAUUCAUGACUUCAACAGGUUGAAAUGAGCUUUAAAGAAACAUCAGUUCAUGUCCUUACAUGUCAGCAUGUGAACUCAGUCUGAGCAGUCAGGCGACAUAUUUUGAAACCAGUACAUGAAGGUGUGGCCCAAUCACAGUCUUCAGGUGGAGUCCUGCCUAUUUUCAGGAAGCAGCUCACCUGUGUGUCUGUGUUUAGUGUCCAGGUGUGGAGUGGAGCUUGUUGUUGGUGUGUGAAGAAACUAGGUCAGAGGUCACAGUCUGCAGGAUCCAGCUGUCCGUCUGCGAGGAUUGACUGCUCCAAACCUCAACCUCCAGACAUCAGUGCUGAACCUGGACCAACGAGAGUGGACCAGCAGAGCUCAGAGGUUCCCAGUGGUCAGUCUGCCCAGCAGCAUCAAACA